UGGAGUGAACUCCUAACAGAGAACCCUCCUGCAGAUAACUAGACAUUCUAAAUAAAACUAACACCAAAACCAAAACCCAGCUACUUGCAAGAAGAGAUCAACACUGUGUGUGUAUGUAAAGGCUGCUGCCCGCGAUUUUAGGUAUCCGCUGGGGGUCUUGGAGUGUGUCCCCAUGGUAAGCGUGGGCUACUGUGCAGUGGGAACUGCAGUGAACAGGAAAAAGCAACACAUAAUAGUGAGAAAGAAAGGCAAGAAGAUAUGACAGCAGGCUCCGGGUAUUUAUCAUUCCUGAGAUCUGUCUUCUUGCUUCAUACUUAAAGCCAGGGCCUGGACUGCACAGUGAGCGCUCACACCCAGCCGGUCUAGCACCAGAGCCCUGGUCAGCCCUCGCCAUGGCACAGGCUCCUGUCCUGGCAGAGGAUGCCUCUCCCCCAGCUGCCUGCCCUUCUUAGCGCUGUUUCGUGAAGCAUUGGCAUGGUUGAACUUGGCAAACCCCAAAUUCAUUCUACUUUCCCAUUUUUGUUCCUGUUUACCCUACCCUACCCUGCCUUCUGGGAUUACUUGAAUAAUUUCUAGAAUUUCAAUUAUGUUUGUAUCCCCAGUAUCACAAAAUAAACAAAAUUUAGCAUUUGGUUUUUAA